GAGACAAGCAUAUGACUACUGGCAGGAUCAACCAGGUAGCAUUCCUUCGCGACGCUGACACCCACAUGAGCCCCGUCGAGCCGUGAGGCCGCAGGCUCAAAGAUAGGCGCAGCAGUCGUUCAUGUCAUUGGACAAAAUGCAUUGCUUGGGCAAUCGGAGGCCGAGAGACCACCCGCCCGUGCAUAACAUUCUGCAUCCGAGAGGACGGGCAAACACCUCAUGGGCCAAGGCAACCACGCAGCUAGGCGAGGCAUGCUAGGAACACGAGGCUUGCCUAACAUCCACCCCACCACCCGUGAGGUGCAUGGGGCGGAAAGGAACAAACAGACCAUCGAAUACCUUCCGGUAGGUAAGCAACA
rnacentral:misc_RNA from 1 species